CUACUCUCAGCUCCACUUGAUCAUGCAGGCUGAUUGUGCACUUGGCUAUUUUCAGAGAGAGAGAAAGGCUCUUCUAGUACAUGACAGAUCUGUCCAAGAUGGCCUCACUGCGUCUAGUAGCACGACAGCU
rnacentral:snoRNA from 1 species